AUUGAACGCUGGCGGCAGGCCUAACACAUGCAAGUCGAACGAGUGGCGGACGGGUGAGUAAUGUCUGGGAACCUGCCUGAUGGAGGGGGAUAACUACUGGAAACGGUGGCUAAUACCGCAUACUAUCAGAUGGGCCCAGAUGGGAUGAGCUAGUGGGUGGGGUAAAGGCUCACCAAGGCGACGAUGCCUAGCUGGUCUGAGAGGAUGACCAGCCACACUGGGACUGAGACACGGCCCAGACUCCUACGGGAGGCAGCAGUGGGGAAUAUUGUACAAUGGGCGCAAGCCUGAUGCAGCCAUGCCGCGUGUAUGAAGAAGGCUUUCGGGUUGUAAAGUACUUUCAGCGGGGAGGCGUUACCCGCAGAGGAAGCACCGGCUAACUCCGUGCCAGCAGCCGCGGUAAUAC
rnacentral:rRNA from 1 species